GAGACACAAUUAUUAUAAUUCCAUCGCGUAGUGGAAACCACACCAAUCAUUUAUUUACCACAUACUUAUUUAUUAUAGUAUGCAAUUUAUGAUAGUGCAACUAAACUUUACUAUAAACCUAGACUCAUAAAGCGUGCAAUUUAUGAUUGUGCAAUUUAUGAUAGUGCAAUUAACCAUGCACAGUAAAGCGUGAAUAAAAUUAGAACACCUUUGAAAUAAAUUGUAUAUUUCAUUACUUACUAAACAGAAGUGUUCUAUUUAGUAUAACAAAAUAGUAUAAGAGAUCAACUCUAUCUCAACCCCUAAAUAAUAAAUUUUAUCCCAACCCGACCUAUUCCAAGCCUCUAAAUACUAAACCCUAAACACUAAAUCUGAAAUCUAAAUACAAACCCUAAACCCAAAUACAGAAUGUGUUUCAUAUCACCGAAAUAGUAUAGAACUCUAAGUCUCUAACUCAGCACACAACUCCUAAAUGCUAAACCCAAACCCAACUUUUGAAUACUAAACCCUAAACUGCUAUCAAUAAACUCAAACCUCAACCUACACUUUCCAAAUAUUAAACCUUAAAUCCUAAUCACUAAACCCUAAACCUAAGUAUAAAACCUAAACCCAAAUAGAAUAAAACAAAAUACAUAGUAUAGUACAUAUUGGUGAACAAAAUAAAACAUUUUUUUAUUAAUCAUCAAAUGGAACAAUACAUGAUAGGGUCACUAAACUCAAACUUCAACCCCACUUUCUACAUACUAAACCCUAAAUCCUAAUCACUAAACCCUAAAUCCAAGUAUAAACCCUAAACCCAAAUAAAAUGGAACAAAAUAUAUAGUAUAGUACAUACUGCUGAAUAAAAUAAUACAUUCUUUAUUAAUCGUCAAACGGAACGAUACAUGAUAAAAAGGUAUAGUAACAUACUAUUUUGCAUUACAUAACAUGAAUAGCACAUUCAUAAUACAUAUUACAACUCUUAAUUACUAAACGCAAAACAAACUUUAAAAUACUAAACUCAAAUAUAAACCAUAAUUAUCAUCCCUAAAUCCAAUUAUUAAAAUCUGAAAAUAGUAUAUAAUAUUGUGUAAUGUUAAACUAAAUCCAAACCUAAUUUUUGAAUAGUAUUGGCUCUAACCCAACACACAACUCAUAAAUGCUAAUUCCAUAUCUAACUUUUGAAUACUAAACCCUAAACUGCUAUCACUAAACCCAAACCGCAAUCCCUAACUUCCAAAUACUAAACCUUAAAUCUUAAUCACUAAGCCCUAAACCCAAGUAUAAACCCUAAACUCAAAUAGAAUGGAACAAAAUACAUAGUAUAAUACAUAU
rnacentral:lncRNA from 1 species